GAUGAACGCUAGCUACAGGCUUAACACAUGCAAGUCGAGGGGUAACGAGAGGAAAGCUUGCUUUCCUUGUCGACGACCGGCGCACGGGUGAGUAACGCGUAUCCAACCUGCCCCCAACUAGGGAAUAACCUUGCGAAAGUAAGACUAAUACCCUAUAAUUUCCUCAGAUGUCAUCUGACGAGGAAUAAAGAUUUAUCGGUUGUGGAUGGGGAUGCGUCUGAUUAGCUUGUUGGCGGGGUAACGGCCCACCAAGGCAACGAUCAGUAGGGGUUCUGAGAGGAAGGGCCACCACAUUGGAACUGAGACACGGACCAGACUCCUACGGGAGGCAGCAGUGAGGAAUAUUGGUCAAUGGGCGCAAGCCUGAACCAGCCAUCCCGCGUGAAGGAAGAAGGCGCUAUGCGUUGUAAACUUCUUUUCCGGAGGAAUAAAAUCUUGUACGAGUACAGGACUGAAGGUACUCCGGGAAUAAGCAUCGGCUAACUCCGUGCCAGCCGCCGCGGUAAUAC
rnacentral:rRNA from 1 species